GACAGAAGAAGGAAAUCAGAAAGUAAUAGAACAAGACUUGGAUAUGCAAAACUUCAGUGAGAUUGAGUCGUUCAGAUGUUUUUGAAGAGUAUCUCAGAUAGAUAAGAAGGGUAUGGAAUACUGUAAGGGAAAUCAUUCCUGGAAUAAGUGUGUGUGUGUGUAUUUGAGAGUGGCACCCUUGGUCUGAAUCAUGUUAGCGUGAUUGAUCAUGCAUGUUCUUGUUUGAUU
rnacentral:lncRNA from 1 species